GGGGCAUAUAGAGAUCAAAAUAGCAGAGGAGGGACAUACAGGGUGCAGAAAGAUGAGGGGCAGAAUGGAGGAAGAGGGGCAUAUUGGGGGCAUAGCUGAGAAGGUCACACCAGAGGAGGGGGAGCAUACUGGCAGCAGAGUGGGACAAAAAUGGCAUACCAGAUGGAGAAGGAAAAAAAAGAGGAGGUUCAGAAAUGGGAAGGAGCAUAAUGGGUGCAGAGAGGUGGAGGGGAGGCAUACCAGGUGCAUUAACCUGUCCUGUAGUUUUAUCAGGAUCGACUACAAUUGGUCCUGAAUUGCAACCAUAAAGAUAGGCUCCGCCAUGAGAUCUUACCCCAUCAGGGAGAAUUUGGGUUGCAGCAGCUAGAGCAGAAUGAGAUAGAUGAAGAAAGUCUGAUAUUAGGUCCAGCAGCAGCAGCAGCCGACUUCCAUAGAUGAAGAAAGUCUGAUAUUAGGUCCAGCAGCAGCAGCCGACUUCCAUAGAUGAAGAAAGUCUGAUAUUAGGUCCAGCAGCCGACUUCCAUAGAUGAAGAAAUCUGAUAUUAGGUCCAGCCGACUUCCAUAGAUGAAGAAAGUCUGAUAUUAGGUCCAGCAGCAGCAGCAGCCGACUUCCAUAGAUGAAGAAAGUCUGAUAUUAGGUCCAGCAGCAGCAGCCGACUUCCAUAGAUGAAGAAAGUCUGAUAUUAGGUCCAGCAGCAGCAGCCGACUUCCAUAGAUGAAGAAAGUCUGAUAUUAGGUCCAGCAGCAGCAGCCGACUUCCAUAGAUGAAGAAAGUCUGAUAUUAGGUCCAGCCGACUUCCAUAGAUGAAGAAAGUCUGAUAUUAGGUCCAGCAGCAGCAGCCGACUUCCAUAGAUGAAGAAAGUCUGAUAUUAGGUCCAGCAGCCGACUUCCAUAGAUGAAGAAAGUCUGAUAUUAGGUCCAGCCGACUUCCAUAGAUGAAGAAAGUCUGAUAUUAGGUCCAGCAGCAGCAGCCGACUUCCAUAGAUGAAGAAAGUCUGAUAUUAGGUCCAGCAGCCGACUUCCAUAGAUGAAGAAAGUCUGAUAUUAGGUCCAGCAGCCGACUUCCAUAGAUGAAGAAAGUCUGAUAUUAGGUCCAGCCGACUUCCAUAGAUGAAGAAAGUCUGAUAUUAGGUCCAGCAGCAGCCGACUUCCAUAGAUGAAGAAAGUCUGAUAUUAGGUCCAGCCGACUUCCAUAGAUGAAGAAAGUCUGAUAUUAGGUCCAGCCGACUUCCAUAGAUGAAGAAAGUCUGAUAUUAGGUCCAGCAGCAGCAGCCGACUUCCAUAGAUGAAGAAAGUCUGAUAUUAGGUCCAGCAGCCGACUUCCAUAGAUGAAGAAAGUCUGAUAUUAGGUCCAGCAGCCGACUUCCAUAGAUGAAGAAAGUCUGAUAUUAGGUCCAGCAGCAGCCGACUUCCAUAGAUGAAGAAAGUCUGAUAUUAGGUCCAGCAGCUGACUUCCAUAGAUGAAGAAAGUCUGAUAUUAGGUCCAGCCGACUUCCAUAGAUGAAGAAAGUCUGAUAUUAGGUCCAGCAGCAGCCGACUUCCAUAGAUGAAGAAAGUCUGAUAUUAGGUCCAGCAGCUGACUUCCAUAGAUGAAGAAAGUCUGAUAUUAGGUCCAGCCGACUUCCAUAGAUGAAGAAAGUCUGAUAUUAGGUCCAGCAGCAGCCGACUUCCAUAGAUGAAGAAAGUCUGAUAUUAGGUCCAGCCGACUUCCAUAGAUGAAGAAAGUCUGAUAUUAGGUCCAGCAGCAGCCGACUUCCAUAGGACAUCGCACACCUUCCUGGAGAAACGGCUCAUCAAUACAAAGAUGGGUGCUGAAGCGAUCACCAGUUGGGUACUGGAACAAUCAACCACAUGAACAUAUUCUCCAGCACACCUCACAUCCUAUAUAACGUCCAAAAGUUUUAAUGCACAGAAAGCAUCACAAGAAGUGCAACGUUUCGAGGCCACGCAGGACCUCUUCCUCAGGCAAGUGAUAAAAAAGUCAGUGCAACACCAUUAAAUAUGUAGAAAUAGCCACCAAUAAGAACAUGUGAAACAAAUUGCAUUAUCCCUCCCCCUCAUAGGACAAGGACCAUCCUUGGAAUACAUUCUAAUGCCAUGUACAGACAACAACGGUUUUCUCGACAUGAUUCCUCUUAAGCCUGCCUUGCCUACACACGAUCGUGAAAAAAAACGCUGGAGCAAAGCUCGGUGA